rnacentral:lncRNA from 1 species
UCCGAGACUACUGUUCCAAUUUCACUAAAAAAUAGACUAUUACAUACGGCUUUAUGGAAAGAAGAAAUUAUUGAAAACUUUUUUGAUGAGGAAACUACACGAAGUACACUAGACAUACCUUUAUCAAGCUGUGAUCAAGAUGACCAUUUGGUUUAGAGGGGCAAAAAUUUCAAAAUCUACCCGAUCAAAAGCUGGUACAGAUGGCUUGAAGUAGCAGAUACAACCACCAGUGCUAGUACACUAGACAUACCUUUAUCAAGCUGUGAUCAAGAUGACCAUUUGGUUUAGAGGGGCAAAAAUUUCAAAAUCUACUCGAUCAAAAGCUGGUACAGAUGGCUUGAAGUAGCAGAUACAACCACCAGUGCUAAUCUAAAUGAGUUAUAAAAAUCCCUCUUUACAAAAAUAUGAAGAAGUAUUACAUGCUGGAAAAUCAUUAAAAAUUACAUGCCCAUAUUAUCAAAUUUACAGCAAAAGAAAUAUUGGAGUACAAAAUUUAUGCCCAGUAUGUCGAAAUAAUGAAGAAUAUGUUGAACACAUCUUUCGUGAGUGUCGUUUUACCGAACAAGUCCUGCAAAGUAUGGGAGUAACAUACUCGAACAAUAUUAAGAACCAGAAUUGGAUAACUUGGUUAGCUACGGAGUUAUCAACAGGAGAUAUGCUUUAUCUUAGAAAAUUAGAAGUUAUAUUCUAGGCCCUAUGGUACAAUCGUAAUAUGGUCUAUCACAAUGGAACGGGACAAAACGUUUUUGGAGUAGUUUCUUUCAGAAACGCCUACAUAUCAGAAAUUGAUAGCAUGGGUAUUAUAUUGAAAGGCAUGCAAGAAAAACAGGAGACUGUUUGGCAACCAGCGGAAGGAGAUAGUGUCAAAGUAAAUUUUGAUGCAUGUUUUAACAAUUACAUAAGCAGCUUUGUUUCAGGGAUUAUUGUUAGAAAUAGCGAAAGCAUUAAAAUGGCAGCAAGCACUUACCCAAAUUUGCAUGUGAGAGAUGCGACAAUUGCAGAAGCAUGAACAUGUGUUCAGGCGUUAAUCUAUACUGAAGAACUAGGUUUUCGGAGAACAAUGGUUGAAAGGGACUCAUUUAGCAUUAUCAAAAAAGUGGUGGAUGCAAUAGAAGAUGAAUCGGUUAGUGCUGCUUUGAUAAAAGAAAGUAAAGCAAGGAUUAAGAAUUUUGAUUAUAUAAAGUUUAGAUUCGUACCUCGUAUGGCGAAUCGUGCAGCACACGAAAUGGCACAGAAAGGAAAAAGGUUCGACUCUUCGAUGUUUUGGAUCAAGGAAGCACCAGAAAGAGUGGAAAGAAUACCAGCUCUGGACAGAGGGAGAAUGGGCAGAGAAGAAGUUUCGAGAAUAUCUAAGUAAAAUUAUGAAAAAUGUGAGUCUUGAUGAGAUGAAAACUCAGAGAAUAAGGAGGGAAAGGCCAGAGCAAGAUUACAGGAAACAAUCUUACCAGAAAUAUAGAUCCACUCCUGCUACAAACACUGAUGAAGAGACGAAAGGUAAAAAAGAAGGCGGCUGACGGUUUGGUUACACGCCGGAUUUCUUUGGUUUUGUUUUGAAUUAGGAUUAUUAGGGUUUUAAUUUUUGGUUUUCUUUAAGGGCUGCUUUUGUGAAGUUUUUUUAAGUUAAGUUAGGGGAAACAGGAAAUUUAUUUUGACAGCUAAUAGUGGGUGGGAUGUAACCCUUUUUUUUCUUCCAUUUAAUGCAUCAGUAGAUCUUCAUUUCAAAUAUAUAUAUAUAUAUUUCAAAAUCAAUAGUCUUUUAUUAUAAAUUAGGUCAAA